UACGUAGGGGGCAAGCGUUAUCCGGAUUUACUGGGUGUAAAGGGAGCGUAGACGGCAGAGCAAGUCUGAAGUGAAAGCCUGCGGCCCAACUGCGGGACUGCUUUAGAAACUGCCCGGCUAGAGUGCUGGAGAGGUAAGCGGAAUUCCUAGUGUAGCGGUGAAAUGCGUAGUUAUUAGGAGGAACACCAGUGGCGAAGGCGGCUUACUGGACAGUAACUGACGUUGAGGCUCGAAAGCGUGGGGAGCAAACAGG
rnacentral:rRNA from 1 species